rnacentral:rRNA from 1 species
GAACUGAGACACGGUCCAGACUCCUACGGGAGGCAGCAGUGGGGAAUAUUGGAACAAUGGGCGCAAGCCUGAUCCAGCCAUACCGCGUGGGUGAAGAAGGCCUUCGGGUUGUAAAGCCCUUUUGUUGGGAAAGAAAUCCAUCUGGUUAAUACCCGGGUGGGAUGACGGUACCCAAAGAAUAAGCACCGGCUAACUUCGUGCCAGCAGCCGCGGUAAAACGAAGGGUGCAAGCGUUACUCGGAAUUACUGGGCGUAAAGCGUGCGUAGGUGGUCGUUUAAGUCCGUUGUGAAAGCCCUGGGCUCAACCCGGGAACUGCAGUGGAUACUGGGCGACUAGAAUGUGGUAGAGGGUAGCGGAAUUCCUGGUGUAGCAGUGAAAUGCGUAGAGAUCAGGAGGAACAUCCAUGGCGAAGGCAGCUACCUGGACCAACAUUGACACUGAGGCACGAAAGCGUGGGGAGCAAACAGGAUUAGAUACCCUGGUAGUCC